rnacentral:rRNA from 1 species
GAUGAACGCUGGCGGCGUGCCUAAUACAUGCAAGUCGAGCGAAUGGAUUAAGAGCUUGCUCUUAUGAAGUUAGCGGCGGACGGGUGAGUAACACGUGGGUAACCUGCCCAUAAGACUGGGAUAACUCCGGGAAACCGGGGCUAAUACCGGAUAACAUUUUGAACCGCAUGGUUCGAAAUUGAAAGGCGGCUUCGGCUGUCACUUAUGGAUGGACCCGCGUCGCAUUGGCUAGUUGGUGAGGUAACGGGUCACAAAGGCAACGAUGCGUAGCCGACCUGAGAGGGUGAUCGGCCACGCUGGGACUGAGACACGGCCCAGACUCCUACGGGAGGCAGCAGUAGGGAAUCUUCCGCAAUGGACGAAAGUCUGACGGAGCAACGCCGCGUGAGUGAUGAAGGCUUUCGGGUCGUAAAACUCUGUUGUUAGGGAAGAACAAGUGCUAGUUGAAUAAGCUGGCACCUUGACGGUACCUAACCAGAAAGCCACGGCUAACUACGUGCCAGCCGCCGCGGUAA